CGACUUGUGGUCUAGUGGUAGAGCUGCGGACUGACACACCGGAGACCUGGGUUCAAUACCCGAGCAAUCCUA
rnacentral:tRNA from 1 species